rnacentral:tRNA from 1 species
GGAUUGUGGCUCAGUGGUAGAGCGCUCGCCUUAAAUGUGAGAGACCCUGGGUUCGAUCCUCAGCACCA